rnacentral:rRNA from 1 species
GUUGAACGCUGGCGGCAUGCCUUACACAUGCAAGUCGAACGGUAACAGGUCUUCGGAUGCUGACGAGUGGCGAACGGGUGAGUAAUACAUCGGAACGUGCCUAGUAGUGGGGGAUAACUACUCGAAAGAGUGGCUAAUACCGCAUGAGAUCUACGGAUGAAAGCAGGGGAUCGCAAGACCUUGUGCUACUAGAGCGGCCGAUGGCAGAUUAGGUAGUUGGUGGGAUAAAAGCUUACCAAGCCGACGAUCUGUAGCUGGUCUGAGAGGACGAUCAGCCAGACUGGGACGGAGACACGGCCCAGACUCCUACGGGAGGCAGCAGUGGGGAAUUUUGGACAAUGGGCGCAAGCCUGAUCCAGCAAUGCCGCGUGCAGGAUGAGGGCCUUCGGGUUGUAAACUGCUUUUGUACGGAACGAAAAGCCUUGGGUUAAUACCCUGGGGUCAUGACGGUACCGUAAGAAUAAGCACCGGCUAACUACGUGCCAGCAGCCGCCGUAACAC